GAUGAACGCUGGCGGCGUGCCUAAUACAUGCAAGUCGAGCGAACGGACGAGAAGCUUGCUUCUCUGAUGUUAGCGGCGGACGGGUGAGUAACACGUGGAUAACCUACCUAUAAGACUGGGAUAACUUCGGGAAACCGGAGCUAAUACCGGAUAAUAUUUUGAACCGCAUGGUUCAAAAGUGAAAGACGGUCUUGCUGUCACUUAUAGAUGGAUCCGCACUGCAUUAGCUAGUUGGUAAGGUAACGGCUUACCAAGGCAACGAUGCAUAGCCGACCUGAGAGGGUGAUUGGCCACACUGGAACUGAGACACGGUCCAGACUCCUACGGGAGGCAGCAGUAGGGAAUCUUCCGCAAUGGGCGAAAGCCUGACGGAGCAACGCCGCGUGAGUGAUGAAGGUCUUCGGAUCGUAAAACUCUGUUAUUAGGGAAGAACAUAUGUGUAAGUAACUGUGCACAUCUUGACGGUACCUAAUCAGAAAGCCACGGCUAACUACGUG
rnacentral:rRNA from 1 species